ensembl:miRNA microRNA 196a-2
UUAUGCAGCUGUUCCGUGGUUUAGGUAGUUUCAUGUUGUUGGGGUUGGCUUUUAACUCGGCAACAAGAAACUGCCUUAAUUACGUCAGUUAGUCUUCAUCAAGGGCAACA